CCAUACUGAUCAUGUUGACAUGUUGCUCUUCUUUGAGGGAUUCCUGACAAGUGUUGAAGAGCCAAGUUGCAGUAAUGAAUCCAAGCAGAAACAGAAGUUUUCUGCUGCAAGACACUGCUCAUCAGGAUUUACAGAGAACAGGGGCCUCUGGUGGCAUUAAUGUGGAGUUGGUCCCCCGUUUGAAGCUACAACAGCUUCCAUUCUUCUGGGAAGGCGUCUGUGGGAUUUUUUUGCCCAUUCAUCCAGAAGAGCAUUUGUUGAGGUCAGACACUGAUGUUGGAUGAGAGGGCCCAGCUCACAAUCUCUGUUCUAGUUCAUAACAAAGGUGUUUGAUGGGGUUGAGGUCGGGGCUCUGUGCAGGCCAGUCAAGUUCUUUCAUGCCAAACUCAUCCAACCAUACCUUUAUGGACCUUGCUUUGUGCACUGGGGCAUAGUCAUGCUGGAUCAGAAAAGGCCCUUCCCUAAACUGUUCCCAGAGAGUUGGAAGCAUAGAAUUGUCUAAAAUGUCUUGGUAAGCUGAAGCACUGAACUUCACUGGAACUAAGGGGCCUAGGGCAACCCCAGAAAAACAGCCCCAUAUCAUUAUCCCCCCUCCACCAAACUUUACAGUUAGCACAUUGCAGUCAGAUAAGCAACUUCUACUGGCAUUCACUACACACAGACUGCCAGAUAGGGAAGCGUGAAUCGUCACUCUGCAUAACUCGUAUCCACUGCUCCAGAGUCCAGUGCUGGCAUGCUUUACACCACUGCAUCUGAUGCUUGGCAUUGUGCUUGGUGAUGUAAGGCUUGCAUGCAGCUGCUCGGCCUUGGAAACCCAUGCCAUGAGGUUCCUGGCAUAUAGUUUAUGUGCUGAUGUUAAUGCCAGUUAAUGCCAAUUUAUGCUUAGAUGUGUCUGGUGGUAGUUUUCAUGUGAGGCUGGUUCACUCUGAGCAACAGUGUGAGGAAAGAGAGCUCCUCCUGCUACAAACAGCAUGCUCUGUGGUUCAGGCUGCAGUAAAAAACUGCACUGAAACAGUUUAAAGAUGAACUGCAGGACUCAGCUGUCCAUAUGGAUCUCUGCAACUGACAGUGAUGCAGCUUAUUGUGAGGAGAAAGGUAUUAUGUUAUAUUAAACCCUGUGUGUUUAAGUAGUUUCCCUUGAUCUCAUAUAUAUAUACCCAUUUGACAAGAUCCCCACAUGUGACCACAGAGGGUGUAUUGUUCAAUAGACUAAAAACAGUUUAUCUUGAGGGUGGCACUAAAGGAAAGGCCUUGGUAUAAUUUAAUUCAGUAGCUUUUGCCUGCAGUAGGAUAAAGGACAUUCACCAAUAAACUGCAGAUUGAAGUAUUUUGCGUGUUAUGUUGGCAUUUUUAAGCUUCUUGUCCACAACUGAAACUUAAGCUUCUUGA